GUGCACGCUGGCGGUAGGCCUAACACAUGCAAGUCGAACGGCAGCACCGUAAGAGCUUGCUCUUGCGGGUGGCGAGUGGCGGACGGGUGAGGAAUACAUCGGAAUCUACUUUUUCGUGGGGGAUAACGUAGGGAAACUUACGCUAAUACCGCAUACGACCUACGGGUGAAAGCAGGGGAUCUUCGGACCUUGCGCGAUUGAAUGAGCCGAUGUCGGAUUAGCUAGUUGGCGGGGUAAAGGCCCACCAAGGCGACGAUCCGUAGCUGGUCUGAGAGGAUGAUCAGCCACACUGGAACUGAGACACGGUCCAGACUCCUACGGGAGGCAGCAGUGGGGAAUAUUGGACAAUGGGCGCAAGCCUGAUCCAGCCAUACCGCGUGGGUGAAGAAGGCCUUCGGGUUGUAAAGCCCUUUUGUUGGGAAAGAAAAGCAGCAGGUUAAUACCCCGCUGUUCUGACGGUACCCAAAGAAUAAGCACCGGCUAACUUCGUG
rnacentral:rRNA from 1 species